ACACAAAAGUGAGAAAGUAAAGGCAGAUUGAACAAGUGUGUGAACGGCCUCAGAAAUCCCACGCUGUUCAACUUGAGCACGGAUACUGUCAUGAGGUCACAGAAACAAAAACAGGAUCUCUCUCCAUGAACAGCAGCGCCGUUAGGAGGCAAGCGCGCAGUCACAUUCAGGAACAGGAUUCUUUGGAGUCACUGGGCAUCGCGGCACAGUAUUUAAAAGGUUGGGCUUUGCAGUCAGACUGGAGUUUACACCUGGUUUUGCCACUCGGUAAAGAGUUCCUGCCUGUAUCUUAUAGGUAAUUCUCGCUCUGCCAAUCCUCAUCGCCACUGAUCUUGGGCAAGUGUCUCAACUUCUCUGAGCCUCAGUGUCCUUAUCUGUGAACGCUGAGUAUGAAAUAAGGAAACGCACGUGAAGGGCUUAGUUAAGAGGGCACGGGACCUGCUGAGAAAAAUGAUCUAUAGUUACUUUGUAACUCUUACAAAUCUAAACACAAGACUGUCUUCGUUUUUCCUGGGGCCAUUCUGAUGGAUUUUCCCUAGAUCUCAUUGUCAUUUGAAGGCCUCUCAUCUAGAUGGACUUAGGCACCAUUUUGUAAUUUUUAUUAAACAGAGAGUAAGAAAUAGUAAUGCGGACCCAGGAAAGGAAGGAGGAGAAGGGAACUGGGGGGGGAGGGCGGGAGGCACGGACCUCACGAUCCUGUCCCCUCCGUAGGCGUGCAGGAGCGGAAGGAACCCGAGACAGAGUGGGGCCAAGGUCCUGAGCAAGGUCCUGUGGCUCUUCACACAAAGCCCGUCUCACCCCCGUGCGUGGUCCGUAGAGUUCACUCCAAGCGCAAGAAAGCUACCACCAUUUCCAAUUAAGAUAAAUUCCUCCAAGCACUCUCAAAGGUCCUCUGGCUUCGUGUUUCAGCAAUACCCCAAGGAAUCACUGGCCGUGCAAAUGCUCUCAUUACAAUGGGUCCCGUUCUCUCUGAACCUUUAACUCGCCCAGUGGACUUCCAUCACUUGCAAGCCACAGCCCUGGGUUUUAUCUAAUUUAAAGGAGAGGGGAAUGGUACUUGGCUCUGGCCCUUAAAUGACGGGCAAUUAUCAUCAGGCAGGCUGGCCCACGUGCAGCUGACGCCUGCCAGGGUCUUCACAAGAGGGAUGAGGGAGUGCUAUCGGGGGACAAGAGGCUACGUAAUGCAGAGCUGCUCCGUUUAUUCUAAAAGGCAAGGCGCUCUUACUCCCUGAACGUAGACCCUGACGUGUGGGGUCUACUCGGGUCUCCACUCCAUUAACAUAUUCAAUUUGGGAAGGAGAGAGACCAGGAAGAGAGCGGGAUGUUCGGGGGUCAGGAAGUAGACCAGUCUUUUUUGGAAAAGCCUGGAACACGUCCCUCAAAAAGCAGGCAGAAGUGAACGGUGCAAAGCCCCGGUCUGGGCUAGGAGUGUGGGCUCUCCCCUACAGGUGAUGCCUGGGGAAGACGGGCCGAGUCCCUGAGCGGCACGUGAAGCUCCCAAUGUGUGCCAGGCUCUGGGCGAAGAGCUGGGGAGCAAGGCCAAGUGAAGAAGCUCUGACGCUUCGGGGGCUCACUGUGUCUGGGGGAGGGCUGACCCGGAAACAGCCCCUCGAGCACGUCAAGUGCCAUGGCAGACACGAGGACAGUGUGCGGCAGGGCCCGGGCGGAGCAGGCACCUCCUUCUGCCCGGGCAGCAAGGCGAAGGCUUCUUAGCAAAGGGGGCAAGUGGAACGAGUCCUAAAGGCCAAGCUGGACUUGCUGGCAGGACAGGGAGAAACGGUAUCCGAACGACAGAGUGUCCGGGGCCAGGCCCAGUGGUGAGAAGGAGCACCUGUCCCUGGCAAGGAGGCCAGCGCACGUCGGGGGGAAGGACACCAGGGGAGCUGCAGACGCAGUGGGCGCCUGGGUCUCAGACGAUCCUGCACGCCAAGGAACAGAAGUUGUGUCUAACAGUCAAGUCAGGCACAGAAGAUUCAAGUAGCAAGGGCCACAAGGUCAAAUCUGAAUUCUAGAAAAGUCCUUUCUGGCUACAAUGUGGUGGAUGGAUUAUACAAGAGGGAUAUGGAGGGAGACAGCUAAGAGGCUACUGCAAGCGUCCGUGUGAAACUGCUGAAGGCCUAAACCUCAGAGGCAACUGGCUGGUUGUGGGGGUGAGGGGGAGAGACCACCAUUGUGGGAUCAGGGCCCCGGGAGAAGAAACACAAGAAAGCAAUUUGGGGGGAGACUGAUGAGCCCAGGCCUGGACACGCCCCACUCAACGUGACUGGGGCUGGAGAGCAGUUGCGGGAGUGUGUCUCAGGCUGCAGCGACAGCUCUGGGGGGCGCCCCCCGCAGCAGGAGCCACAGGCAUGCAUGGAACUGUCCAGGAGGGGAUGUAAGUGGAAAGAGCCAAGAGCCCAGGAGAGCACCACAGAGAAUAGCAAGAAAGAGGAAUCUAAGAAGGACAGGGCAGAGGGCGGCCAGAGAGGCAGGGCCUCGUGGGAGAGCUUGAAGAACAAGGCACUGCUAGCCGCGACGAUGAAAACGCCCCAGGAUCCUUCUGGAUUCGACAAUAAGAUAUUCUGGAAAUUUCUCCAAAGCAGUUUUUAUGGGGCGGUGGGGCCAGAAUGCCACACUGUGGGUGGCGGGGGCGUGACAGGGGAGACAGCAGCAGGGGACAGGAGAAAUGUACGUGGCUUUCUCAAGAUGAGCCGGCAGGGUGGGUGGGAAUAUAAAAAGCUCCGUGGAGUCAGGGCCAGAGGUGGGGAGGUGGAGUCCGUCUUCCCCAGACAGCAAAGACGUACAGGUGAAAGUGCAGAGAAGACUCAGAGGAGAGUCACAGGUCAAGGCAAGGAGAGAGGUAUGUGUGCCGACACCACGUACGGACACAAACGCGAACGAAUAGCCUUCUGCCCGCAGCAAGCUUACGAUCCAUCACAGUGUUUGGUACGGACACGUAUGAAGAAGAAUAAACGGUGGUCAACCUGAGAACAGGAGCCCAGACGGAGCGCUGCAGGCGGUGAGACCGACCUCUGAAGUGCGGGAGUUCUGGAAGCUUUCAUUCUGCAAGAAAGCAUUCUACUCUAAGGCGGUAAGAGGCCCAGGGAGCAUUCAGUCCAAUGGUCUCCAUUUAUCGGUCUGAAGGGAAUAAGGACUUCACUAAGGACACACACAAUUUUUGCGAUCAAACAACCUAAGCUCUGUCUUCUUAAUCCAGAGCCGAUUCCCCCAGAUCACACGGCUUCUCCACAAAAUGCCCAACGUGGGGCCUGGACUUACGAGCCUACGAUGAAGGACUACAGGCCCUGCCCACCGAAGCCGCUGUAAUGACCUGUCAAGUCUGCACGCCACCCCCCCCCUCCCCCAACCAGGCCACUUCGUGUAGCUUUAUGACAGGCAUUACUCUAAGACUUGACUCUUGCUUUCCUGCCGCUGCUGAAUUAGCUCCGUUUCUGACCUGACACUACCCAGAAGGUUCUGGAAUGUAACAGUGGCGGUCAGAACACAGCUACUGCCACUGCAGACCUGAACUCGGUUCUGGUCUUUCCAGGGCCCAGAGAGGCAAAAAGUCAACUUCACGUAGUUGGAUGGUCAGAGCACGGCAAAUUCUGAACAGGUGGUCGCCCUCCUUCGUGUGUAUUCUGGACUGCUCAGAUCAUGUGUGCACAGCACUGUGACCUUCGGGGAGAGAGGUGUUCCAUCAGUCCUGGGUUAAGAAUGGCUCAUCAUCACGAACAGUUCAAAUUUCUGAUCAGAUAUGGGACGUAAAUAUCAAGGAAGACAAACAAAAAAAAAGGUUUGUACGAGUUGCUCUCAUAAUGUUGUUUUACUGCCUCAAAAUCUCAUGAUUCUUAAGAACUUGGGGAGGUUUGUUGAGUGGAACAGGGAAAUUACUGGAAAGGAGAAGGCAUUCCUGUGUCAAGUUUCAAGGUGUAAUAAAGGGAUUCCUUUCCUGUAAUAGGAAAUGCUUUCAAAGAUUUGACCCGGUGUGACCAGGACCAUGCAUUCAUUCACCUAUGUCUGUGUUUUCCAGAUGCCCUAUUAGUUACAUGCUAGGAACACACAAUGCAAGAGUCUGGUCCCAGUGGAGCUUGUAAUAGGACGGUUGCGAGGGACACAUCGGUGCCAUGUGCCGUGCUGAGACACGCAGCGUGAGGACCGAGAGGUGGCCAGUACAGACGAAGGGAGGGCAAGCCGGAGAAGGCGUCUCAGCUGGAGUGGUGUUCGAGUUCAAUCCUGAAGGAAUCCUAACGCUAACCAGGGCCUGAGGGAAGGACAUUUCAGAGUAGAGGACACGUUCCAAGGCACAGAGUAAGGAAGAGGCCAUGUGCUACUGAAGAAUGAUGUGACGACCUUCUCACCGACACAGGAAGCAAGAGAAGUCACUGACGAUCAUCCACCAAAUAUGGAAUACCUAAAGCACAAGACUGAUAGUGAGGGACAUGCUCAUAGACUGGAGAAUUUCAAGAUGAAGACAAUGCAGAUCUACUCAAGCUUGAGUUAAAACUGGGAGCCGGAUGGGUGGCCAGCAACAACCACCCCCUGACCGCCUCCACGAAAACUAGAGAUGAACUCCAGGGUGUCCGAACUGCUGCUUUUAGCUCUAGACUCUGGGGAAGCUGGCUGGACCGCCCCCAGAGCUGGAUGGGGCGGGGAGCCCGUGCUGUGUCUGUACCUGGAGGUCCCAGGUGACAGCAGCGGACCAGAGGAAGGGCCGGGGGACAGGUUUCCUAACACCUCACCUGUUGCAAGGCCAUCUCAGAGUUAAGGCUGAGGCUAGUUCCCUAGGGGAGGGUGAUCUUCAAGAAUUUUUGCAAGGAGUCUCCUAAGAGACACACACUAAUGAAGUUGAAUCCACAUCUCCCUAAGCAUCCAGGGUCAGCUGUGUCUGAAAAAGUCUCGAGUGGUCUGUACUGUCAUGAUGUGUCUACACUGUUGGGAGGAGUCCACGAAUGUCAUAAACACCAGCCUGUGACAUCCACAGGGCGGUUUUCCCCAGGCAGGAGGGACACAGGAGUAGUGAGUCUAUUAUUGGUGUUCAAGCCAGCUGUCCUUGGAGCAAACCUAACGACAGGGCUCCCUGUUGGCAGAGCGCUUGUCCCGGGGAAAUGCCAAGAUCAAUCGUUUUGGAAAUGGAUCCUGUUCAUGGCAGUGAAUGUGACUUAACAUAUUUCAUCAAGUUUGCAUUUCUAUGAAGAAAGACUUCCAAAUCUAUUUCCUCGAAGACUUCUUUGCACAUGAAUUUUUCAUUUUAUUGUAGAACAAACAUUUGCCUCAAGUGACACAUCAAGGUGCCGGUCAACUUCUUGGUCCCUAUCUAGCCCUGUUUGUUUAAAAACAAAUGAAUUCCAACAAAAGGGGAAAUUUUAAGAGCUCCUUCCCUCCUGGCAGGGGUGGGGGAGGGGAUUGGUUAAUUUCGGUUACAUCUGCGGAUUCAGCGUUCCAUCCCACUUACGGAAGGUGGAGACUCCCAGAGAAGAGGUUACUGCAGUUCAGGGGCAUCCAUUUCUUGGGGACCUGAUCAGGCUUCCAGGGAGUUGGAGCCUCUUGAGGUUCAGGACUGCAUCUCAUGCCCGAUCUGAGCAAUGGCGUCAACAGCAACCCAGAGCCUGCUCCCCUCCGACUCAGGGACAGCUGCUAUCCCACACCUCCAACUCUCCUGGGAAGCUGUGGGUCGGCGUUGGGGCACGCCAGCCUUGCGAUCUAAAGCCUCCCCCUUUAUCCCGCAUCCUAACGAGGGAGCAGCACGUGGCCCUCCCUCCUCUCAUCCCCCCACAUACACAAAGGGCCCCAGAACUGGGUUUCCCAACCCCCGGUCUUCGGAAUUGCAGAUCUCUUGAUAGGGCCCGACGAUCCUCACUCCUGAAUGUGCUGACCUUCAAAUCGCCACAGGAGUGCCCAGCUGUGGCUCAUGAAAAUGAUAAUGAGGACACAACGUUGGAGCAAAGCCAUUACGCCAAGUCCGCGGGCGGAGGGUGGAGGGCGGGGGGGGGGGGGGGGGGGUCCCUGCACGUACAGGGUCCUGCCAUGUCACAGUGGCAGAGAUGGGCUGGGCCAGAGCGCACUAGCAUUCGUGGGCCGCAAUCUCUAGAGCUCCCGUUAUAUCCGAAGUCUGGCGUGAUUUCUCCAAACCUCUCUGCCCUGGUCCUGUGAUGAGUCACAGGGAGCUUCUGAGUUGCAGCAGCCAAUGUUUAACACAGGCCGAGUCUGGGAGCUGGAGGGCCUGGGGGAGAGAGACACUGGGUUCCCGCACAGAGUCAGAACUCGUGUAGAAACUUGUCUAACCCCAGCCAUCACCGAUUGAUGAGUUAACCACCUUUAACACGAGAUUCAAUAAAACAUGCCAUUUUUAACCUGAA